GGUUUUGUAGUGUAAUAAACACAUUAGGUUGCAAAUCUGAUAAUGUAUUUUUAGUAAAUAUUAAAACUU
rnacentral:tRNA from 1 species